CUUCACUGCCCAGUUGACCCACGAUAUGGGUUUAGCACAGCACAUCGGUGGUGGGUGGGGCGAUCUGUGAAGACGACCAAAGCCUGACAAAUGCAGUUUUUCUCAUUUGACUCUGCAACUCUUCUGGGGGAACGCAGAGAUAGGAAGCUUAUUUCAUAAAUAUUUGUUGAGUUUCCGCUACGUGCUAGGUAUGGUACUGAGCCAGGUGCUGGAGAAAAAAGCCAUGAAUUAGUCAAGUCCCUGCUCUCUUCUAGUUUUCUAUUUUUAUAGGCGAGGAAGGCACGGCAUAGAUAACGCAGAUGGCAAAGGGCUGGGCUGAGCUGAGACCUAAGCCCUGGCUGGAUCCCCGUAGGGGUCUAUGAGCGGUCACUCCCACUCCAAGGCCCUUGGUCUCCCAUUCCUCGGCAGCACUUCUUGUGGCUCCUCUUCCGUGUUCGUCUUGGAAUCCUGGGCUGUAGCGUCCAGCACUCUGCUUGAGCCCCUACCUUUGUGGUGCUGGUCUAACGGCGGACGGAUACGAGUAGGGGGCGGGGCGAACUCGCGGUAACUCUGGGCUGCGCGAGCUCGGGUCUUAGGCGGGGCGUGCAGCGCCAAGUCCCGCCCCCGGCGCGUCUGCUCGUCGGAUGCGUACGCACAUGUCCCAGCGGCCCCGCCUGUUAUUGUAGGACGUCGGCUGUCUGUGACGAGCUCGACCCCAUAAAAGCGGUGGCACCCAGCGCAGGAGCACUUCGCCUUGGAGCGCCUAGGCGUUCGGACGUUGGGCUGGGUUGAGGCCCGCGACAGAGCCCUCCCUUUCUCGGUGUGCCAUGGCGGACGAGGGGAAGUCGUACAACGAGCACGAUGAUCGUGUUGGUUUCCCUCAAAGAAGAAAGAAAGGCCGGGGCCCCUUCCGGUGGAAGUAUGGUGAGGGGAACCGGAGGUCUGGAAGAGGAGGUUUCGUUGUUCGGUCUUCCCGCCUUGAGGAAGAGAACAGAGAUGUGGCAAUGAGCGAUGCCCAGGAUGUUUCCCGAGUACGAUACAACCCCUAUGCUGCACGACCCAACCGUAGGGGUGAUAAUUGGCACGAGCGGUCUCGAAUUCAUGUUACUGUGCCUCUGCGGAGAGAUAGAGCUCCUCCAGAGAGGGGAGGGGCUGGCACCAGCCAGGAUGGGACCUCAAAGAACUGGUUUAAGAUUACAAUUCCUUAUGGCAGGAAAUAUGACAAGUCAUGGCUCCUGAGCAUGAUUCAGAGCAAGUGCAGCAUCCCUUUCACUCCCAUUGAGUUUCACUAUGAAAACACACGGGCCCUGUUUUUUGUUGAGGAUGCCAGUACUGCCUCUGCAUUGAAGGCUGUCAACUAUAAGAUUUUGGAUCGGGAGAACCGCAGGAUAUCUAUCAUCAUCAACUCCUCUCUUCCACCCCACACUGUGCAGAACGAACUGAAGCCAGAGCAAGCAGAGCAGCUAAAGCUGGUCAUGAGCAAACGAUACGAUGGCUCCCAGCAAGCACUUGACCUCAAGGGCCUCCGUUCAGACCCAGAUUUGGUGGCCCAGAACAUUGAUGUUGUCCUGAAUCGUAGAAGCUGUAUGGCAGCCACCCUGCGAAUCAUUGAAGAGAACAUCCCUGAGCUGUUGUCCUUGAACUUGAGCAAUAACAAGCUGUACAGGCUGGAUGACUUGUCCAGCAUUGUGCAGAAAGCACCCAAUCUAAAGAUCCUCGAUCUUUCUGGAAAUGAGCUAAAGUCUGAGCGGGAGUUGGACAAGAUAAAAGGGCUGAAGCUAGAAGAGCUGUGGCUUGACAGAAACACCCUGUGUGAUACCUUUCGAGACCAGUCCACCUACAUCAGGUCAGUUUUAACCUCUAUCUCCCCUCCUGGGAACCUUCACCCCCUAGGAGGCUGAGCUGAUGCACCCUGACCAGUGCCCGUCUGCAGAUGUGCAGCCCUGAGCUGGAACCACCUGUCCUUGGGGAGGAUCAUGUGCUCCUCCCGUUUGUCCAUCCGUGACACCCAGCUUUGCCCCAGGCCUCCUUUCCUUUCUUCUCACCUGUCUGCCUGUUUGCUGGUUCUGUGGCUUUUCUCCUUCCUUCCUGAACACAGGGUUUUCUACACUCCCCCUACCCUGUUGUUCCAUGAAGAGCAGCUCCCUUUUUUACCGUGGCUAGGGGGCAUAUCUUGUAUAUCAUGCCCCAUACAUGGAGUUGCUUUGAGCCAAGAGCCUGGUAUCCCUGGGCAGAGAAAGCCCUCCCUCCCUGGGACUUCCUGCUGAUGGAAGUUCUUCCUUCCUCUGUCCUGCAACGGCCCCUCUUGCCCUUUUGCCAAGAGGCGCUCUCUUCUCACAAUCUCCUUGCCCAAGGCUGGUGCCUGGGCUUUCCUGCCCACACUGAGGUUGAGGCCUCCUGGUGGCUGGUGCCGUGCAAUCGGUCUCUCUUGCCCAGUGCUGUAAGCUGGGCCCUCCCUGGAGGAGAAACCUGGGUUCCCGAAGACAUGUGACCAGAGCCGGGGCCCCGCCAGUUGGCGAGGGAAUCCCAGGGCAGGUGCUGGGCGUGGAGGCCACGGGGGCAUAGGCUACCAAGGUGACAGAGAACUGACCUUCUCUGGGGGCGCUGCACCUCGCUCACUCGCACACCUCACAUCUCCCUGCUUGGCCCCGGAGGAUGGCUGGUUAGCCAGAGACGGGUAAGAUUCCUCAGGGAAGGAACAACCUAAGACAGGCACAGUCGCAGAGGGGCCAUCAGGAGAGAACUUGGGGGCCAACAGAGGUGGGGCACAGACCCUCACCCCCCCAACUUUGCAGGGGCCUGAACCCUCACCCCUUCUGAGGGAGGUCUCCUGUCCCCAUGGCUGCUUCGCUUCCCACGCCCAGCUCAGAUGGGAACCCAGGUAGCAGACAAGAGACCUGGCCAAUAGCAGCUGCUCUCCCGCCGCAGCAGGGCUUUGUUUCCCAUUUCCUCCGUGGACCACAGGGAAGAGGGAGCUGAAAGAAAGGGCUGUGUCAGGUGGCUUCUUCCUUUGUUCUCCCUCUUCUUUCUAAAUGACUCUUUGCCGUGUAGUGCUUUCGCUUUUCCUUUGCUUUCUCUUUCCUCUUUCUCUCUCCUCGCCAGUAUCGGCCCCGUCUCCUUGGCUCCUUCCUCUCCUGCUUUUUCUCUCUCUUCUCCGUUUCGUCCCCUCGCUGCUUCCUUGGCCUCAUCUCCUCCUGAGCCCUGCCUUGCUCAUCUCCCUGCCCCAACAUCCUGUGCCAUUUCUGCGGUGUGUUCUGGUCUUGGCCGUGGCCAGACCUGGCAGAAGUGAUGGAUACCUGUUGAGGCAGUGGAGCCCCUGGGCUCCCACCCCAUUCCCUCCUCCCGGGGGCUGCACAGCGCCGUUCGAGAGCGAUUUCCCAAAUUAUUACGCCUG